UGGGACAGCUAAUCGCCUGCCAAGAGCCCGCCCACUGCCUCUCUGCAAUUAGUCGUGAAGUUGAAGGAGCUCCAAACUCCGCAGGCGCACUCAGGGCCUCCUGCUCCUAUGGCUGGUUUUCAGGACCCUUGGCUCACAGAAUAUGCCCUCAUCUGAGUCAUUUGGGAUAUUGGGACCAUUCUCAGUUCAUUUCCCUAUGAGGCCCAGAUGUCUUCCCUGCUACCACGGGAUGGAGGAGGUGGCCACAGCCCAUCUCAACUCGUCACUAAACGGCUAUCAGGGAUGCUUUGCGGUGUCUGGACUUUUGAUAAAUUCUUUCAUAACUUCAUCCGUGCCUGUGAUGGAAAACUGUGCUUGACUCAGUGCUAGUCAGCUGUUUGGAGAACCA